UGGAUAGAGGUUGCAUUUUUUAUGAGUAGGAUGAAGGAUGUAUCAGGAACAGAUGAAUUCAUCCGAAAGGAAAGGAUGCCGAAAGGAGGAGGGGCCUGAACCCUUGUUCUUGGGCAUGGCGUGAAAAAUGCCAUGACUGUCAUCGCAGGAUGGAGAGCUAUCUGA
rnacentral:ncRNA from 1 species